GCCCCGGUAGCUCAGUAGGUAGGGCACUGGCCACAUACACCCAGGCUGGUGGGUUCAAACCCAGCCCGGGCCA
rnacentral:tRNA from 1 species